CACCCACACGCAUGCGCGCACAAACACGCGCCGCGUUAGGAGUUUAAUAUGAGUCUUGGUGGGGUCGCCCUUCCCCUUCCUGCCCGCCCAAUGGCCCGCUUGAUGAAUGGGAGGAGAGAGGGUGGAGGAGAGAGGAAGGAGGGUGGAGGACGCAGAAGCGGAAAUUAGUGGAGGCUUGUUCCCCGUUCUUGGCCCCAUGUUAUGCUCCCCGGCACUGAAGUCGGUACUGAUGCGGCGCCAACUUGGCGCUUCAAAGAAAGCACAAGGGAUACAAACGCAGGCCACAAUCCCGCUUUGUUUAUAAGUAUGUAUUGUCAAAGGAAAGCAACAGAGCUUGGGAGUCUGCAGGAAGUGUUUAAAGUGCUGACGGUGUUUCAGACACGUGACGCCUGGAAGCAAACAGGAAGUCCUUAACCUGCAUAAAAAACAACCUCUUGUAUUGCACCAAUUCACCAGGUCAAACUCCUCUGUGUGUAACAUAUGUGGCAAUAAAUGGCUUCCGAUUCUGAUUCUGAUUAAAAAUAAUCCC
ensembl:lncRNA